AUACGGAGGAUGCAAGCGUUAUCCGGAUUUAUUGGGUUUAAAGGGUGCGUAGGCGGGCUGUUAAGCGUGAGGUGAAAGCUCGGGGCUCAACCCCGGAACUGCCUCGCGAACUGGCGGGCUUGAAUGUCCGUGCCGUGGGAGGACUGUGUGGUGUAGCGGUUAAAUGCAUAGAGAUCACACAGAACACCGAUUGCGAAGGCAUCUCACGAACGGAUGAUUGACGCUGAGGCACGAAAGCGUGGGGAUCAAACAGGAUUAGAUCCCCUGGUAGUCCACGCAGUAAACGAGGAUGACUAACCGUCGGCGAUAGACAGCCGGUGGCCAAGCGAAAGCGAUAAGUCAUCCACCUGGGGAGUACGUCGGCAACGAUGAAACUCAAAGGAAUUGGCGGGG
rnacentral:rRNA from 1 species